GAAGGGAGUAUUGUGAAAUUGAUUAUGGAGGACCUUGAAGAUGUGGGUUGUGAAGUUGCUUUUUGUUGAAACAGAGACUGAUAAAUAUGUGGUUACCUAAGAUAUGAUUGUUGAAUAGCAUCUUGGCUAGAAUCAUGUUGAAGAAGGAUAUUAAGAGUCUCAUGUAGUCCAGGUUGACCUAAGUUUGAUAUAUAGCAACGGAUGACCCUGGAUAUCUUGCCUCUAUCUUCUGACUGCUCUAGGACUACAAGAAUGUGCCACCACAUCCGUUUAUGAGGUGUGAGAAUUCAAAUGCAGAGCUUCCUGUAUGCUAAGAUGUGGCAGUGUAGGUCCACUGGCAUCAUCUUCCUGAGAAACUUCAUGGCCUCUGGUGACCCAGGACCUUUACAGAAUGGACACCAGAGACCUGGCUUUGGGGAUCUUCUUCCUGUCCCAGACUGUGCUGGGAUUGUUGGGCAACUCAAUCUUAAUUUAUUGUUUUAUCAUUGCUGACUUCUCUGGAAUCAAGGUGAAGCCCACACACCUGAUUGUCAAACACCUGACCUGGGCCAACUUCAUUGUUCUCUGCAGAGGAAUCCCACAGACCAUUGCUGCUUUUAGUCAGACUUACUAUCUAGAUUAUGUUUCAUGUAAACUUGCCUUGUAUUUUCAUAGAGUUGCCAGAGGAGUAUCCCUUGGCUCCACAUCCCUGCUGAGUGUGUUUCAGUCCAUCACCAUUAGCCCCAGUAAUUCUAAGUGGGCACAGCUCAAGGUCAGAGCCCCCAGGAUCAUUGGUCCUUCCCUGGGUCUGUGCUGGGCCCUCCAGCUGUUGGUAUAUGUCUUCAUUCCUGUAUACACAACUGGCAUAAAGCAUGGGAGAAA